AAAGUCGUAACAAGGUUUCCGUAGGUGAACCUGCGGAAGGAUCAUUAACACUCCAAAACCCUCAUAGCUCUGGGAAACCAGGGUUUAUGAAACCCUAUUCACUUUAACGAACCCGCAAAGAAAAAAAAAAGAAAGAAGACCUUGGUCUUCUGCUGCUUUCUUCUUUUGCACUUUUUCUUUUGUCCAUUUUUUUUAUUUUUAACCCCAAUCAUUUUAUAACAUUUGACUGACUGGAAGAUCUCGGUCUUCCGUUGCUCUACGCUCUAAACCAGCAUAGGCAAUGAAAACUACAUAAAAAAAAACAAACAAAAAAACAACUCUUAGCAACGGAUAUCUUGGUUCUC
rnacentral:misc_RNA from 1 species